UACAGAGGUCUCAAGCGUUGUUCGGAUUCAUUGGGCGUAAAGGGUGCGUAGGCGGCGCGGUAAGUCGGGUGUGAAAUCUCGGAGCUUAACUCCGAAACUGCAUUCGAUACCGCCGUGCUUGAGGACUGGAGAGGAGACUGGAAUUUACGGUGUAGCGGUGAAAUGCGUAGAUAUCGUAAGGAAGACCAGUGGCGAAGGCGGGUCUCUGGACAGCGACUGACGCUGAGACGCGAAAGCGUGGGGAGCAAACAGG
rnacentral:rRNA from 1 species